UACGGGGGGGAGCAAGCGUUGUUCGGAUUUACUGGGCGUAAAGGGCGCGUAGGCGGCGCAACAAGUCACUUGUGAAAUCUCCGGGCUUAACCCGGAGCGGCCAAGUGAUACUGUCGUGCUAGAGUGCGGGAAGGGGCUACUGGAAUUCUCGGUGUAGCGGUGAAAUGCGUAGAUAUCUGGAGGAACACCGGUGGCGAAGGCGGCAUCCUGGACCAACACUGACACUGAGAGCGAAAGCCAGGGGAGCGAAACGGG
rnacentral:rRNA from 1 species